rnacentral:rRNA from 1 species
AGUUCGUGGAAUAUUCUGUCUGCUUAAUUGCGUCUUCUCAUCGGUACGACCCUUCAUCAAGGUGUGUCAUGUUGGGGCAGGUUCAAAUCUUCGAGAUUUGCUUGUUUUUUCCGACUGACCACCGAAGGAGUACGUACUUUUUGCAACGAACGUGACAUCUACCCUUCUUUUUUUGGGAUCACUUUCGAAAUGAACUUCGGUUCAAUUCGUUAUUUGUUGGACCCAUCACAGAAGGGGACUGCCAGUGUAAACUGGAGGAAGGUGGAUGCUAUAACAGGU